rnacentral:tmRNA from 1 species
GUCCGCGAGCCUGAUACUUGGUUAAGGCUCUCCGGGCGUCAAUUCUUCCAAGCACUGACGAACCGCUGUCCCGCGUUCGUCUAAGACAUAAGGACUAGGAUGUGUAUGAUUCUGUUCAUCUUAUACAUAUGCAUCCGAAAUCAGGAUUUAUUUCCUGACAAGAUGACCUACGCUUCGUAGAUACAUUCACACAUCUUUCUCUACACGGGAGUUCGAUUCUCCCCACCUCCACCU